UACGUAGGGUGCAAGCGUUGUCCGGAAUUAUUGGGCGUAAAGAGCGUGUAGGCGGCCCGGUUAGUCCGCUGUGAAAGUCCAGGGCUCAACCCUGGAAUGCCGGUGGAUACUGUCGGGCUAGAGUCCGGAAGAGGCGAGUGGAAUUCCUGGUGUAGCGGUGGAAUGCGCAGAUAUCAGGAGGAACACCAAUAGCGAAGGCAGCUCGC
rnacentral:rRNA from 1 species